AUGCACUUAGACCAGAGCCCCCUCCCUAGGGCUGUGGGGCUCAGGGCAGGCCCCGUGGAGACCCUGCGGUCAGCCCACCUUGGCGAGACACAGGCAGGCCCUGUAACGGCACCUUUCAGCCUGGUCGUCCGCUGCCAGCCGGCCUCCGCGGCGCCGGGACUCCUGCGGCCAGGGCAGACCCCUCAGCGAGGCGGACAGACACCCCCCUGCAGGGCCGCUGCCUCCCAGCCCCACACACCAGUUUCUGAACGUCCAUUUUGAGGGAAGAGAUGGUUCUCUCCUUCUUCGAGUUUUGUUCUAGCCUUCAAUAGCUCCUGCUGUCUUGGGAGUAAAGUGCAGACUCUGAGUUCAGCAUUCAAGGCCCCCACCCUGGCCGUGACUCAGCUCUCCAGCCUCCCGUCCAGCGGCUUCUCAAGGUCCUGCCCUGUCCUUGUGGCAUGGCAGAGGCAAUGCUCACCUCCAGGCCUUUGCCCUGGCUGCUCCCUCUGCUUGGAACACCCCUGUCACCAUAAAUCUAACACUUGGCAGGUGUUUGUGGCCAAGGAGUCCCGGACCCCCAAGUUCUGUGGAGUCGCACCCCGUGGUGGCAGGUGAGCCCUUCACCGGGCAGCCGUCUCCCCAUUUCCUGCUGAAGUUCCUUCCGAGCCCAGAGCGCCCGCCCUGGAAGGACACUUGUGAUCUCAGUGCUGAAGACGCCACUGUGGGAACCGGCCACGCAGAACCAGCCCAGUUGGGCCCACUGCGACGCUCACUAAAGCCUCAGAGUCAGGGGACCUAAUGUGGCCUCCAGGGAUUGGCCAAGGAGAUCCAGGCCCAUGUUGAGCAGCUGCCGGGACAGGGAUUAUGAACUGUGUGCAGCGUCGAGGGAGUCAGAAUUUGGGGUGAAAAUCAGGACACAAAACUGCAUGUGAGUGAUGGGCGCAUCUUGGAAUUGGCCACUGCUCAGCAGACAGGGGGUGCCCCUUCCCCUCUGACCUCCACCCUGGCGGACC